CCUACGGGAGGCAGCAGUAGGGAAUAUUGCUCAAUGGGGGAAACCCUGAAGCAGCAACGCCGCGUGGAGGAUGAAGGUUUUCGGAUUGUAAACUCCUUUUGUUAGAGAAGAUAAUGACGGUAUCUAACGAAUAAGCACCGGCUAACUCAGUGCCAGCAGCCGCGGUAAUACGGAGGGUGCAAGCGUUACUCGGAAUCACUGGGCGUAAAGAGCGCGUAGGCGGGAUAGCAAGUCAGAUGUGAAAUCCUAUGGCUUAACCAUAGAACUGCAUUUGAAACUGUUAUUCUAGAGUAUGGGAGAGGUAGGUGGAAUUCGUGGUGUAGGGGUAAAAUCCGUAGAGAUCAAGAAGAAUACUCAUUGCGAAGGCGGCCUACUAGAACAUAACUGACACUGAUGCGCGAAAGCGUGGGGAGCAAACAGGAUUAGAUACCCGAGUAGUC
rnacentral:rRNA from 1 species